rnacentral:lncRNA from 1 species
AUGCCCAUCCAAUGGGCGACCACUCCAGGCUCCGUUACCCCCCAGAGACAAGGAGAGGAAGGGGCGGUUAGCGGACCACGCUCUCUCGCCGCUUCUGAGCUUUUCCCGCUCAAAGUAAAUGUGUUCGGGAUUGGCCCGGACUGGCAGGCACCGGCCCGAUGAUUUGCUGAUAGGGCAGCGGAGAGGCCGGUCGUGGAAGGUUGAAAGAGCUAAAGAGCGCAGCCCUACCGGGUGGGAGAGGUGUUGGAGGCACUUGGAAGAUUUGAGAAGUCGCUCAGCAACUGGCUUAUCCUCCAAAACCUAGCUGUUGCGCACAUUUCAUUUGUCCGACAUUUCAUAUUUGUUCCUUAGUCCCUCCCGUAGCUUCAGAAUCCGUUGGAGCUGCCCAGAGACUGAUAUAUCUUGUACCGGUUUGGGGAGGGCGAGGAGCAACUUGUGGAUUGGGUGUUGCUGGGAGACCCCUUUUUGAGGGAGAGCUGCCCUGUGUCCUAAGCCCGGGCUUUCAGUCCGGGUUAAGGCAUUUAAGUGUUAAUGUGACUUUUGAACAAAGUUCGCUGUGACCUUUUUGUUCGUUUUUGUUUGUCUGUGUAAAACAGGGUCUUGCUCUGUCGCCCAGGCUGGAGUGCAGUGGCGCUAUCAUAGCUCGUUGCAGCCUUGAACUCCCGGGUUCAAGCGACCCUCCCGCCUCAGCCUCCCGAGUAGCUGGGGCUGCAGGCACGCGGCGCCACCACUCCUGGCUAAUUUUUUAAUUUUUUUGUAAAGCUGAAGGGCGGGGGGGUUGGGUCUCCUUAUGUUGCCCAGGCUGGUCUCAAACUCCUGGUCUCGAGCGAUCCUCCCGCCUCAGCCUCCCGAGUAGUUGGGGCUACAGGCGCGUGCCACCACUCCCAGCUAAUUUUUUUUUUUUUUUUUUUUUUGGUGAGAUGGAGUCUCACUGUCGCCAGGCUAGAGUGCGGUGGCGCAAAGGCUCACUGCAACCUCCGCCUCCCGGGUUCAAGCGAUUCUCCCGCCUCAGCCUCCCGAGUAGCUAGGACUACAGGCCCACGCCACCACGCCCCGCUAAUUUUUGUAUUUUUAGUAGAGACGGGAAUUUCACCAUGUUGUCCAGGAUGGUCUCGAUCUCUUGACCUCGUGAUCCGCCCGCCUCGGCCUCCCAAAAUUCUGGGAUUACAGGCGUGAGCCACGGCGCCUGGCCCUAGCUAAUUUUUUAAUUUUUUUGUAGAGCUGGGGUUGGAGGUGGGGAUGGGGGUAGGGGGUUGGAUCUCCUUAUGUUGCUCAGGCUGGUCUUGAACUGAACUCUUGGCCUGAAGUGAUCCUCCGCCUCGGCCUCCCAAAGUGUGGGAUUACAGGGUCUUGCUCUGUCACCUAGGCUGGAGUGCAGUGGUGUGAUCACAGCUCACUGGAGCCUCGACCUCCUGGGAUCAAGCGAUUCUCUCACCUCAACCUUUGAACUUCUAGAUAAGUGGUUCUCAAAGUGUGGUCCUUCAACCAACAGCAUCAUCACCACCCAGGAACUUAUUAGAAAUGGAAGUUCUUGCACCCUGCCAAAACCAGAAACUGCGGAUGGGUCCCAGCAAUCUUUAUUUUAACGACUGUUAAAAUCAGAAUCAAGUGAUUCUGAUGCAAACUUAAGUUUGAAAACAUUGUUCUAUUAAAAGUAAUGGCAAAAACCGCAAUUACUUUUGCACCAACCUAAGAGCUCUGCACUGUUCAAUAUGGUAGCUUCUAACUAUUGAAUUUUUUAAUGCUAUUAUCUCCUUUAUUCAAAAAUAAAUAUUUCACUUUGAUUCAACAUAUUUCAAAUUACAUUAAGCACAGAGAGGAAAUACAUUCCCUUUGGAGAUUGUGAACACGUGUUGGAAAGAGGCAUGAUCCAAAUAAUGGGGAUGAGGUGAGUGUGGAUUCCAGCUGCUUCCUGACCCAGAAGUUCUGCCCCUCUUCAGGUGGAGCUACUUAUCGAUUUUUAGGCGAGAAAAAGACAGACACACACACACACACACACACACACACUGCUUUGAAGUCUGAAAGGCAUAUGAGUGGACCGUAAGGUAUAUGGCACGUUCACUGAUAAAACAUCCCCUACUCCCUCCCAAGAAAAGCAGAGACACUUUAAUCAAGUCAAAGGCCAGAGAAGGGCCUGGUGCAGUGGCUCACGCCUGUAUCCCAGCACUUUGGGAGGCCAAGGCGGGUGAAUCCCGAGGUCAGGAGUUCGAGACCAGCCUGACUCAUAUGGUGAAACCCUGUCUCUACUAAAAAUACGAAAAUUAGCUGGGCGUGGUGGCAUGUGCCUGUAAUCCCAGCUACUCGUGAGGUUGAGGCAGGAGAAUCGCUUGAACCCAGGAGGCAGAGGUUGCAGUGAGCUGAGACUGCACCAUUGCGUUCCAGUCUGGGUGACUGAGCGAGACUCUGUCUCAAAAAAGAAAAAAAAAAAAGCAGCGAAGACAGGGUGCUCCUGCUUAUAGCUCAGCAGCAUGAACAUCUCUGAAUAUGAAAGCCAUUUUUCAUUUGCUUCUACCUCCUGUGCCUCCUUUCCCUGCCGACUGGGUCCGUGGAUGGCCGCGGUGCUCACUUGGUGAUGGUGGGGCGUGUGGCUGCAUACACAAACACCACAAUCAGCAGCACGACCGCGGCCAGCGUGGGCAGCACCACCGUGGUGAUCUGCUGCCGGGCCUCCUGCAUGGCUUGCUUCUGCUCCUUCUUGUCCUUCCAUGUCUCCUUCCUGGGCUUCCCUUUGAGCUGCCUCAUCUUUCCUAGAAGAUGCUGGGAGGCUGUGUCCAGAGGGAUUCCAAAAAGGGCCACAAUCCUCUUGUCAAGGCUGGAACCUCCUUUUCUUCAACUUGAUUCAAUAAUUUCAGCAAACUGAUUUCCAGUACAGGUGACUUGACUUAUUUGUUGUAACAGAUCAUGUCUUCAACAUGCAACACUCUCAGAUGGUGCAGCUGGGAAAAUGGACAACAUCUUUACUGAUCUUUAGCAGUCUGUAACUAUUGAAUUCUUAUAAUAUAUUUAGAAUGAACCGAGAUGGGCUAUAAGUGUAAGAUACAUCCUGGAUUUCAAAGGCUUAAUAUGAAAACAGAGAAAGUAAAAUAUCUCACUGGUAAUUUACAUAUUGAUAGCAUUAAAAUCAUAUUUUUCAUAUACUGGGUUAAAUAAAAUAUUAAUUUUACCCUUUUAAAAGUUUUUACAUGAGAUUACUAGAAAAUUUUAAAUUACAUAUAUGGCUCUCAUUAUAUUUUUUUCUUUUUUCUUUCUUUCUUUUUUUCUUUUUAUUUUUUUAGAGAUGGGUCUCACUAUGUUGCCUAGGCUACAUCUAACUCCCAGGCUGAAGCAAAUCCUCCCACCUCAGCCUCGCAAGUAACUCGGACUGCAGGCAUGUUCCACUGUGCCUGCCUUCAGCUCUUAUAUUUCACACCAUUCUCCUGCCUCAGCCUCCCGAGUAGCUGGGACUACAGGUGCCCACCACCACGCCCGCCUAAUUUUUUUGUAUUUUUAGUAGAGAUGGGGUUUCACCAUGUUAGCCAGGAUGGUCUCGAUCUCCUGACCUCAUGAUCUGCCUGCCUCAGCCUCCCAAAGUGCUGGGAUUACAGGCAUGAGCCACUGUGCCCGGCUUUCUUUUCUAAGAGACAGAGUCUCACUCUGUUACCCAGGCUGGAGUGUAAUAGUGGAUGUAAUAGCUCACUACAUGCUUGAACUCCUGAGCUCAAGCAAUCCUCUUCCAGCCUCAUUCUCCCCAGUAGCUAGGACUACAGGUGCACACCACCAUGCCCAGCUGAUUUUUAAUUUUUUUUUGUAGAGAUGAUCUCUUGCCAUGUUACCCAGGCUGGUCUUAAACUCCAGGGCUCAGGGAAUCAUCUCACUUUGGCCUCCCAAAAUGCUGGGAUUACAGGUGUGAACCACUGUACCCAACAGCUCUCAUAUUUCUAUUGGACAGCGUUGUUCUAGACCAUGGGUCUGCAAACUACAGCCUGUGGGCCAAAUCUGGCCUACCACCUGUUUUUGUGCAGCCCAUGAGCUAAGAAUGGUUUUCAUUUUUUAAGUGGUUGAAAAUAAUUUUUAAAAAGAAUGAUGUCCUCUGACAUGUAAAAAUUAUAUGAAAUUCAAGUUUCAUUGUUUAUAAGUAAAGUUUUAUUGGAACACGGGCACACUCAUUUAUUUGUUUAUCAUCUAUGACUGCUUUUGCUUUACAGUAGCAGAACUGAGUAGCUGUGAUAAGGAUGUGCAGCUUGAAAGUCUAAAAUAUUUACUAUCUGGCCCUUUAUGGCAAAUGUGUGCUGAUCCCCGUUCUAGACCAUCAGCUUUCAUAUAUUCCCUGGAAGAGGACCCUGCUUUUAACUUACUCCUAUUUUUUUGUUCUCAAUCUUUGCUUAGCUUUUAGGCCCAACUCCUUGAUAUGCCACUGCCCAAAUCUCAGUGGUAUUUUGGGGUUACAAGAGCUGACCUAUGCAUUCUUUAGACUACAAAGAAGUCAGCCAAAAAUGUUCUUGCCUUCCUAGAGCUGCACAGGAACUGGUGGAUCUAGCAAAAGAGAACAGAGAGAUGUUCAAUAGCUUCUUUCUCCAAAGGUAGG